UAGCCGUAAACGAUACUCGCUAGGUGUCGGCCACGGUGCGACCGUUGUCGGUGCCGUAGGGAAGCCGUGAAGCGAGCCACCUGGGAGGUACGGCCGCAAGGCUGAAACUUAAAGGAAUUGGCGGGGGAGCACCACAACGGGUGGAGCUUGCGGUUUAAUUGGAUUCAACGCCGGAAAUCUUACCGGGACCGACAGCAACAUGAAGGCCAGGCUGAAGACUUUGCCGGAUUAGCUGAGAGGUGGUGCAUGGCGUAGUCGUGU
rnacentral:rRNA from 1 species